rnacentral:rRNA from 1 species
CGUUUGAUCAUGGCUCACAUUGNACGUUGGCGUGCCAGCCUAACACAUGCAAGUCGAACGGUAACAGGAAGCAGCUUGCUGCUUUGCUGACGAGUGGCGGACGGGUGAGUAAUGUCUGGGAAACUGCCUGAUGGGGGGGGAUAACUACUGGAAACGGUAGCUAAUACCGCAUAACGUCGCAAGACCAAAGAGGGGGACCUUCGGGCCUCUUGCCAUCGGAUGUGCCCAGAUGGGAUUAGCUAGUAGGUGGGGUAACGGCUCACCUAGGCGACGAUCCCUAGCUGGUCUGAGAGGAUGACCAGCCACACUGGAACUGAGACACGGUCCAGACUCCUACGGGAGGCAGCAGUGGGGAAUAUCGCACAAUGGGCGCAAGCCUGAUGCAGCCAUGCCGCGUGUAUGAAGAAGGCCUUCGGGUUGUAAAGUACUUUCAGCGGGGAGGAAGGUGUUGAGGUUAAUAACCCCAGCAAUUGACGUUACCCGCAGAAGAAGCACCGGCUAACUCCGUGCCAGCAGCCGCGGUAAUACGGAGGGUGCAAGCGUUAAUCGGAAUUACUGGGCGUAAAGCGCACGCAGGCGGUCUGUCAAGUCNGAUGUGAAAUCCCCGGGCUCAACCUGGGGAACUGCCAUUCGAAACUGGGCAGGCUAAGUCUUGUAGAGGGGGGUA